UUAGGAAUUUUGGGCAAUGGGCGCAAGCCUGACCCAGCAACGCCGCGUGGGUGACGACGGCCUUCGGGUUGUAAAGCCCUUUUCUGGGGGAAGAUGAUGACGGUACCCCAGGAAGAAGCACCGGCUAACUACGUGCCAGCAGCCGCGGUAAUACGUAGGGUGCGAGCGUUGCCCGGAUUUAUUGGGCGUAAAGGGCGCGUAGGCGGCCCGGUGCGUCCCGCGUGAAAACGCCCGGCUCAACUGGGCGAGGCCGCGGGAAACGAUCGGGCUAGAGCACGGUAGGGGGCAGUGGAAUUCCCGGUGUAGUGGUGGAAUGCGUAGAUAUCGGGAGGAACACCAGUGGCGAAGGCGGCUGCCUGGACCGGUGCUGACGCUGAGGCGCGAAAGCGUGGGGAGCGAUCCGGAUUAGAUACCCCUGUAGUCC
rnacentral:rRNA from 1 species